rnacentral:lncRNA from 1 species
AAUUAUUUAUAAGUUUGAAAUAUAUGCUGGCUCAGUGACAGUCCUCAAUAAGAAGUAUAGAAGAAGUACUUAGACUUAUAAGAAGGUCGUGCCCACCAGCGCUUAACACCAAUCACAAUCAAAGUGACUCGUAACCUGCAGCAACAAUGGGAAUAAAACCCUAAGUACGCAAGUACUCAGCAAGACUUACCCGACUAAAGAAAAGACUCUCAAGGGUAUGCUAGUUUUAAAGGGAUUCAAGGUAAGGCUUAUCAAGAAUCAAGGACUCUGUUUGCAGAAAAGCUUACUAUGAGUGGAUCCUUAAAAAUCCAUUUUUACUUGUCAGGUUAAGUAAAGUUACCUGCCUCUAGAGUUCUUUCUAUCCUAGUUCAAGCACUUCGCCUAUACUAGCUGUCUUUUAUCAUCCCAUCAGUUCACUGGAUUGCUACGUGUAAGUCAGUGACCAAGUCUUCAUAUCCGAGAAGUAACGGCAAUCUGAAUCGAUUAAUACCCAGCUGGGGAUCUCCAAUCACAUGACAUAUGUAGCACUUAGGGCGUGUUUGGUGUGUGGUGCCGCACGCCACGCCACACUUAAGUUGCGGCGACCAAAUCGGCCGCCACAACUGCGGCGGGAAAAGUGUGGCUGGUGGCGGCGGCUUAGGCCAGGUACCAAACACGCCCUUAACCCUUGCAAAUGUCAACUCGCCACUGGGUUUCUUAAGACCAUACCGGGUUCACACCAACCGAGAGCACAGAUACACCACCGUCCAACCUCUUGCCACGGAGGGUACACGCUACUCUCGCCAUCUCUCCACUCCCAUUGCAUGUUGGCCUUUCUGGUAUUAGUCUGCCCGAGGCAAAGCUUACCCAUGAUGAGGCAUGUGACUAGUUAAAAGGUCCUCGAUCAUCAAGCCUACAUCGGUACGGUCCUUAAUUGACUCGGACGGAGACACUACACCGAGACUUCCUUCUCGUGCAAGUCACCCGCCAGGUCUCAGCUUUAUUAUUUAAACCCAAAGUUUGGUACAUGGCAGAGGUACAUCUUUUCUGAUAUUGAACCCAUCAAGGCCCUGAUGGAUCCACCAUCACAAGUUUUUCUUUGUAAAAAUUCCCAUCCAAUUUGAAGCAUCACUUUUUGUUUUAAAAUAAAACAUUUUGUUUUUCUAAAGCACGACUAAGCAUCAUAAAAAUCCUUUUCAUAAAAGGGAAUCAAGGAAGGGUAAGCAAUUUUCCAUGGAAGGAAAUGCAUCAAUUGUUUAGCACACAACUCCUAUCACCUAAUGCAUCAAACAGGUGAUAAAGAUUUUAAAACAGCAAGGAGGUGGCAAAUGUACCGGGGCUUGCCUGGAUAACACUACGUUAGUGUUGUUAGACGUCGAUCACUUGACGAUUAGCUUUUGGUCUGACACUUGUUCGGGUCAUCCAUCUUCAGGAUCAUCAUCCGCAUUACCUUGAAAUUAAUCCAGCCGUUACAUCAUCUUGGGGUCGACUUGGGUCGUCUUCCGCAUCACACGAUUAAUUAUCGUACCUAAAUGAAAUGCAUAAUGCACAUGUAUGAAUUUAAAAAGAACUAGCACGAUACUAGAUAAUGUUAUACGGUUGAGGAUUACACAUUACUAACAUGUCCUUAGAACCAAUUACAAGAAACGCCAGAUGUCAAUAUAAUACUAACGAUAAUAUUCGUGCUUCUUAUGCUCAUCCGGUGCUAGCUCAAACAUCACGAACAACACACUAAGCAUGAAUUUUAUAUCUUUAUUAGCUAACACAUAAUUCCAAAUACUAACAAUACUUAGGUUAAUUAAUCUAGUAUACCUCGGACUUAGAAUAACAAUUAGUAGCUUUACAAUUAGCUUUAAAAUUACUAUUCCAUAGUCUCGUAAGUAGAGUCUUAUCAAGGACUACAGAUCUUUAUAAGACCAUAAUCUUAAGGCCUUAUGACUUAAAACAUUAAGGUAGACCUUUUAUCAUGAAAUUCUCAUAUUUUAACCGAAAUAGACUUGCCGAUGCUAUUCAUUUAAAUUAUUCCAGUAGCAAUCAACAUUCAUCCAUGACACUUAGUCUAUUACUAAACAUAGAAUACAAUAACUACCAAAUAAAAUCAUUGACUUUAUCAUGGGGUUUCUUGUAUUUUGACUGAAAUUGGCUCGCUAACGCUACUCGCUUCCAAUUUAUUUAGGAACGACGCAACAGAGCAGCAUACCUAAAAUAGUAAGAAUAUAGAGCUCAUCACACAGCACACCUGCUAAACACGAGAAUCAUCACGAGUAAUAAAUCUAGCUAAUCCAAUCAUCGAACUAAUAAUAGAAAUAGCGAAUCAACUCACCAUAUUGCAAUUUGACUCGAUCAUCACACGAAUGAUGACGACCUUCGAUUGAUGUCUUCGACCGAGCACUUGAUGAGCGAUGCACACGGGCCUCGCUUCUUUACCAAUUAACAUCCUUAGACUUCUCCCGAACUAUACCCGGUUCAAAUUUGCAAGAACGCCGAUGAUUUUUUUUGGUUCGGGGUUUUCGUCGAACAUCUGAUGAGUGACAUACGGAACUUCACUGUCUUCCCUAUCCACAGUCCCAUCUUCAAGCUCAUCUCCACACACAUCCUAACCACUACUCAAGCAACAUCGUUUCCCUUAACAGAACUACGACGUGGAGAGAAAGAUGGCCAGUGAACUGGAACGAAGCUGGCGACGUGGAAUGGCGAGGAAAUGGAAGCGCCAUGGGGGAUGGAAUCCGACGAUUCGAUGACGUGCGCAGGCUAGGAUGGUCCAGUUAGGACAGGAGGCG